rnacentral:tRNA from 1 species
GGGGAUAUAGCUCAGUUGGUAGAGCGCUUGCAUGGCAUGCAAGAGGUCGUCGGUUCGAGCCCGAUUAUCUCCACCA